CAGAGUUUUCUAACUCCCAAACCCAUGUGAACUUACCAUUGUUGCCUCGGCGGAGCCUACCCUGUAGCUACCCUGUAGGGUGGUUACCCUGUAGCGCCCCGCCGGCGGAUUUUCAAACUCUUGUUAUUUUAUGUAAUCUGAGCGUCUUAUUUUAAAUAAGUCA
rnacentral:misc_RNA from 1 species